AACCUUUAGACCAACAAAUAUUAAAGGCAACGCCUGCCCAGUGAACAAUUAAACGGCCGCGGUACUCUAACCGUGCAAAGGUAGCAUAAUCAUUUGUCUACUAAUUAUAGACCAGCAUGAAAGGCAAAAUGAGGGUUCAACUGUCUCUUAUAAUAAAUCAAUGAAACUGAUCUUCUAGUAAAAAAGCUAGAAUACCCCCAUAAGACCAGAAGACCCUGUGAAGCUUAAACUAAACUAUUAAAACACAUAAUAGCUACUUUCGGUUGGGGCGACCUUGGAAAUAAAAAGAACUUCCAAAUAAUAUGGAUAUACCCAUACAAACAUAGGCCUACAAGCCAACUAACGACCCAGCAAAGCUGAAAAUUGAACCAAGUUACUCCAGGGAUAACAGCGCAAUCUUCUUCAAGAGCCCAUAUCAAAAAGAAGGUUUACGACCUCGAUGUUGGAUCAGGACAUCCUAAUGGUGCAGCCGCUAUUAAGGGUUCGUUUGUUCAACGAUUAACAGUCCU
rnacentral:rRNA from 1 species